GGUGUCUGGUCUGGUUAAAUCCAUUUUGGACUGGUAACAUUUUGAAGUUACCAGUCCUAAUGUCUGGCUGGGUAUUUGUCUUAUUUCAUACACUGCUUAAAUAAGUACUAUC